AGGAGUCAUCACUAGGUGCUUUGUCCUUUUUGUAUUCUAGUUGCACCCACCUCUUGGAUUGGAUAUAGCAAUAACAUUUAUUGGCCGUUGUGAGCUCUUGAUCCCAGUCAUUACCCCUGAGAACUAAAAAUAGAUGGUUCUUAAUUCAACUUACUGAAAAUUUCCCCAAACAAUAGCAAAUCUGACUUUUCCCUCUUCAGUUGCCUGGUAUUAAGGUUGGAUAAAUGAAGCAUGCACAGCUACAGGCUUUCUACUUAACUUCUGGGUUUGCUAUUACAAAUCCUAUUUACUCUCAUACCCUUCUCCUUAGUCCUUCAUAUUUCUCUGCCUCUAUUCUUCUAUACUGCAGAUUUUUCUCACCUAUUGUACAAAGAAAUUGCGAUGUAUAUUUUCAUGUAAUUUGAUUUUGGAAUUCUGUCACCUUAUGUAGUGAGUUCUUCCAAAAUAUAAUUUUUUUUCAAUAA